rnacentral:rRNA from 1 species
AGAUUGAACGCUGGCGGCAGGCCUAACACAUGCAAGUCGAGCGGCGGCACGGGUACUUGUACCUGGUGGCGAGCGGCGGACGGGUGAGUAAUGCCUAGGAAUCUGCCUGAUAGUGGGGGAUAACGUUCGGAAACGGACGCUAAUACCGCAUACGUCCUACGGGAGAAAGUGGGGGAUCUUCGGACCUCACGCUAUCAGAUGAGCCUAGGUCGGAUUAGCUAGUUGGUAGGGUAAAGGCCUACCAAGGCUACGAUCCGUAACUGGUCUGAGAGGAUGAUCAGUCACACUGGAACUGAGACACGGUCCAGACCCCUACGGGAGGCAGCAGUGGGGAAUAUUGGACAAUGGGCGAAAGCCUGAUCCAGCCAUGCCGCGUGUGUGAAGAAGGUCUUCGGAUUGUAAAGCACUUUAAGUUGGAGAAGGCAUUAACCUAAUACGUUAGUGUUUGACGUUACCGACAGAAUAAGCACCGGCUAACUCUGUGCCAGCAGCCGCGGUAAUC